rnacentral:rRNA from 1 species
GACGAACGCUGGCGGCGUGCUUAACACAUGCAAGUCGAACGGAAAGGCCCUGCUUUUGUGGGGUGCUCGAGUGGCGAACGGGUGAGUAACACGUGAGUAACCUGCCCUUGACUUUGGGAUAACUUCAGGAAACUGGGGCUAAUACCGGAUAGGAGCUCCUGCUGCAUGGUGGGGGUUGGAAAGUUUCGGCGGUUGGGGAUGGACUCGCGGCUUAUCAGCUUGUUGGUGGGGUAGUGGCUUACCAAGGCUUUGACGGGUAGCCGGCCUGAGAGGGUGACCGGCGACAUUGGGACUGAGAUACGGCGCAGACUGCUACGGGAGGCAGCAGGGGGGAAUAUGGCACAAUGGGCGGAAGCCUGAUGCAGAAACGCCGCGUGCGGGAUGACGGCCUUCGGGUUGUAAACCGCUUUCGCCUGUGACGAAGCGUGAGUGACGGUAAUGGGUAAAGAAGCACCGGCUAACUACGUG